rnacentral:rRNA from 1 species
GAUGAACGCUGGCGGCAGGCUUAACACAUGCAAGUCGAACGGGCGUAGCAAUACGUCAGUGGCAGACGGGUGAGUAACACGUGGGAACCUUCCUAGGGGUACGGAACAACUCAGGGAAACUUGAGCUAAUACCGUAUACGUCCGAGAGGAGAAAGAUUUAUCGCCCUUAGACGGGCCCGCGUCGGAUUAGGUAGUUGGUGGGGUAACGGCCUACCAAGCCGACGAUCCGUAGCUGAUCUGAGAGGAUGAUCAGCCACACUGGGACUGAGACACGGCCCAGACUCCUACGGGAGGCAGCAGUGGGGAAUCUUGGACAAUGGGCGCAAGCCUGAUCCAGCCAUGCCGCGUGAGUGAAGAAGGCCUUAGGGUUGUAAAGCUCUUUUGGCAGGGACGAUAAUGACGGUACCUGCAGAAUAAGCCCCGGCAAACUUCGUGCCAGCAGCCGCCGUAACAC